GAUGAACGCUGGCGGCGUGCCUAAUACAUGCAAGUCGAGCGAACGGACGAGAAGCUUGCUUCUCUGAUGUUAGCGGCGGACGGGUGAGUAACACGUGGAUAACCUACCUAUAAGACUGGGAUAACUUCGGGAAACCGGAGCUAAUACCGGAUGAUAUUUUGAACCGCAUGGUUCAAAAGUGAAAGACGGUCUUGCUGUCACUUAUAGAUGGAUCCGCGCUGCAUUAGCUAGUUGGUAAGGUAACGGCUUACCAAGGCAACGAUGCAUAGCCGACCUGAGAGGGUGAUAGGCCACACUGGAACUGAGACACGGUCCAGACUCCUACGGGAGGCAGCAGUAGGGAAUCUUACGCAAUGGGCGAAAGCCUGACGGAGCAACGCCGCGUGAGUGAUGAAGGUCUUCGGAUCGUAAAACUCUGUUAUUAGGGAAGAACAUAUGUGUAAGUAACUGUGCACAUCUUGACGGUACCUAAUCAGAAAGCCACGGCUAACUACGUG
rnacentral:rRNA from 1 species